CCUACGGGAGGCAGCAGUGGGGAAUUUUGGACAAUGGGCGCAAGCCUGAUCCAGCCAUGCCGCGUGCGGGAAGAAGGCCUUCGGGUUGUAAACCGCUUUUGUCAGGGAAGAAAUCCUUUGGGCUAAUACCUCGGAGGGAUGACGGUACCUGAAGAAUAAGCACCGGCUAACUACGUGCCAGCAGCCGCGGUAAUACGUAGGGUGCGAGCGUUAAUCGGAAUUACUGGGCGUAAAGCGUGCGCAGGCGGUUAUGCAAGACAGAUGUGAAAUCCCCGGGCUUAACCUGGGAACUGCAUUUGUGACUGCAUAGCUCGAGUACGGCAGAGGGGGAUGGAAUUCCGCGUGUAGCAGUGAAAUGCGUAGAUAUGCGGAGGAACACCGAUGGCGAAGGCAAUCCCCUGGGCCUGUACUGACGCUCAUGCACGAAAGCGUGGGGAGCAAACAGGAUUAGAUACCCUGGUAGUCCACGCCCUAAACGAUGUCAACUGGUUGUUGGACGGCUUGCUGUUCAGUAACGAAGCUAACGCGUGAAGUUGACCGCCUGGGGGNGGACGGCCGCGAGGUAGUAAACGUUAAAGGUAAGUUAGACGGCGUGAGACGUAGACCGACGGACGACGACGAGGGAGGAGG
rnacentral:rRNA from 1 species